rnacentral:rRNA from 1 species
GACAGAGGGUGCAAACGUUGUUCGGAAUUACUGGGCGUAAAGCGUGCGCAGGCGGUUACCUAAGUCAGGUGUGAAAUCCCUGGGCUUAACCUAGGAAUUGCGCUUGAGACUGGGUAGCUUGGAGUGCGGCAGAGGGAGGUGGAAUUCCACGUGUAGCAGUGAAAUGCGUAGAGAUGUGGAGGAACACCGAUGGCGAAGGCAGCCUCCUGGGCCAGCACUGACGCUCAUGCACGAAAGCGUGGGGAGCAAA